ACAAUCCUUCGGGUGCGUUAAUGGGCGUCGAGCGGCGGACGGGUGAGUAAUGCCUAGGAAAUUGCCUUGAUGUGGGGGAUAACCAUUGGAAACGAUGGCUAAUACCGCAUAAUGCCUACGGGCCAAAGAGGGGGACCUUCGGGCCUCUCGCGUCAAGAUAUGCCUAGGUGGGAUUAGCUAGUUGGUGAGGUAAUGGCUCACCAAGGCGACGAUCCCUAGCUGGUCUGAGAGGAUGAUCAGCCACACUGGAACUGAGACACGGUCCAGACUCCUACGGGAGGCAGCAGUGGGGAAUAUUGCACAAUGGGCGAAAGCCUGAUGCAGCCAUGCCGCGUGUAUGAAGAAGGCCUUCGGGUUGUAAAGUACUUUCAGUUGUGAGGAAGGGGGUAGCGUUAAUAGCGCUAUCUCUUGACGUUAGCAACAGAAGAAGCACCGGCUAACUCCGUGCCAGCAGCCGCGGUAAUACGGAGGGUGCGAGCGUUAAUCGGAAUUACUGGGCGUAAAGCGCAUGCAGGUGGUUCAUUAAGUCAGAUGUGAAAGCCCGGGGCUCAACCUCGGAACUGCAUUUGAAACUGGUGAACUAGAGUACUGUAGAGGGGGGUAGAAUUUCAGGUGUAGCGGUGAAAUGCGUAGAGAUCUGAAGGAAUACCAGUGGC
rnacentral:rRNA from 1 species